UAGAGUUUGAUCCUGGCUCAGGGUGAACGCUGGCGGUAUGGAUAAGGCAUGCAAGUCGAGCGGGUUCAGACCCGCGGCAGACGAGGUAGUAACAGGUAGGAACGUCCCCGGAAGUCGUGCAUAACCAGUCGAAAGAUUGGACAAUUCACGAUGGUCUCGCAAGAGUAAAGAUUUAUCGCUUCCGGAGCGGCCUGCCUCGUAUCAGCUUGUUGGUUAGGUAAUGGCUGACCAAGGCUAUGACGCGUAGGGGAGCUGAGAGGCUGACCCCCACCGAUGAGACUGAGACACGGCUCAUACCCCUACGGGGGGCCGCAGCCGAGAAUAUUCGACAAUGGGCGAAAGCCUGAUCGAGCGAUACCGCGUGGUGGAUGAAGCGCUUCGGCGCGUAAACAUCUUUUAUGGAGGAGGAAGUUAUUGACGUUACUCCAUGAAUAAGGGGCUCCUAACUCUGUGCCAGCAGGAGCGGUAAUACAGAGGCCCCGAGCGUUACCCGGAAUCACUGGGCGUAAAGCGUGUGUAGGCGGUCAUAUUAGUCGUUCGUUAAAACCCCGGGCCUAACCCGGGAAGUGCGGGCGAAACGGUAUGACUCGAGGGCGUGAGAGGUGCAUAGAACUCUAGGUGUAGGGGUGAAAUCCGUUGAUAUCUACGGGAAUACCGAAAGCUAAGGCAGUGCACUGGCGCGUUCCUGACACUCCAACACGAAGCGUGGGUAGCGAACGGGAUAGAUACCCUGGUAGUCGCGCCUAAGAAUGAUGACUGCUUUGCCGGAGUAUCGACCCUCUGGGAGGCGAAGCUAACGCGUUAAGUCAUCCGCCUGGGUAGUAUGCCGCAUGCUAA
rnacentral:rRNA from 1 species